GUUCAAGUAGAUUGGGAUAUACAGUGUAUGGAGGAACACUGAUGAUGAAGCCAGCUAUCUUGAAAUUGGAACUCUGUGGUGGACAGCAGAAGACACUGCGGUGACCUUAAAGAGAAGCAUAAUAUAGUAGAGAGACUGUUACUUCCUACUUCCUAUUUCCUACUGCUGAAAUGAAUGGGGGAUGGGGAGAGACUAAGCUAUAUGCUAUAGAUGUAGGUCGUUGUUGCAUUGGUUUAGGUGCUUGAACAGAAAUGGAGAGAAAAGGGUGGAGUACAGAACAAAUCAAGCAGGAUUAGGAAAGAGAGAAGGGAAAGGAAAAUGGGAUUGAAAAUCGUUGUAGUUGUUUGGCGUUCCUGGCAGGAUUGGCAAGAGAGGUGAACUAAAAGAAAAGCAGCAGAGCCACUUGAGUUCAGUGGAGAGCAUGAGCCUGAAGAGCUGCAGAAAGAUGAUGUCCCUGGAGACAGCUAUCCAGUUGAGAGUGGUGACUCAGACUAUGAUUAAGACACAUUUUUUGGCCAUCUCUUCAAAGUGGGUGAGAAGAGUAGAUCCUGCCACGUCUCAGUUACAGGUGCCAAAAUAUAUUUGUGCUUUAACCCAACUGCUUUACUGCCCUGCUGAAAUAACUGCCUCUAUACCAGAUAAUGAGUGGGAACCUCCAGAUCCAGUCACUCUCCUGCUCUUUUUACUAUUAGCUGGUGGCCACGGAACUUGGAG
rnacentral:lncRNA from 1 species